rnacentral:snRNA from 1 species
GUGCUCACUUUGGUAGCACACACACUAAAACUAGAGCGAUACAGAGAAGAUUAGCAUAGCCCCUACAUAAGGAUGACAUGCAAAUUCAAGAAGUGUUCAUAUUUUUU